GGGGCAGUAGCUCAGUUGGGAGAGCACAGCGUUCGCAACGCUGGGGUCGGCGGUUCGAUCCCGCUCUGCUCCACCA
rnacentral:tRNA from 1 species